ACAUUAUUAGUUUGGCGCCGAGGCUGGCUUUGCUAGUAGCAUUAACUGCUUGAGAACCCACAUGCACACCGAAAGUAUUCCAAGUACAAAUAAGAGCAACCGGCUGCCUAUAGAGCAAGCCGUCCAAAGUACACCCAUCGCCCCAUGACCACCCAAGAAGGUCGGGCCUUCCUUAAUUACUGCAACCAUUUGACAUUCAAGAAGAAGGCUAUCAUAGCAUGGGAAUUCAG
rnacentral:lncRNA from 1 species